UGCAUACAAGAAUACAAGUUCAACAAAUAUACAAAUACUGUUAUUCUCCACUUGCCACUCAUUAGCAAGACAAUGAGGACCGAGUGCUCCGCAGCUCUCUGCAUUGUCCUAGUGGUUAUGUCUUCAACCCUCUCUUCCUGCAACCCUGGUUCGUCAUGUAGUUUCACUUUACCUCGAUGCACUGCACAGAAAUGCAGAGGAAGAUGCUUGGCGUUUGCCAAAUCGGAAGGUGGAGUGCUAAAGCUGUCCUACUGUGUGACAAAGAAUAGUUGCGAAUGCGAGUUAGCUCCCAAAAAGCAUCUGCCCCUUACAACCGAAGUCAGAGGAUGAUAAUGGAACUUUUGUUUGAAUAUAAUACAUAGGAUUAAAACUGACACCAAUGAUGGAUCGGGUAUCAAGGCAGACAAUACCGUACUGCUAGCUCUUGCAUGAAAUUUAUCCAUGACCUGUUUCCUUUUAGGUCUAAUAAAAUAAUUCGUGCCCAUCAUUUCAAUAA